UACGGGGGGGCAAGCGUUGUUCGGAAUUACUGGGCGUAAAGGGUUUGUAGGUGGCCUGCUAAGUCAGACGUGAAAUCCCUCAGCUUAACUGGGGAACUGCGUCGUGAGACUGGUAGGCUCGAGGACAGGAGAGGAACGCGGAAUUCCAGGUGUAGCGGUGAAAUGCGUAGAUAUCUGGAGGAACACCGGUGGCGAAGGCGGCGUUCUGGACUGUUUCUGACACUGAAAAACGAAAGCCAGGGAGCAAACGGG
rnacentral:rRNA from 1 species